UUUGUUUGUUUUUACACGUGUCUUUAUUGAGAAAACAACCAUGGUGGCAAGUCUUUACGCAGCCGGGACACCUGCGCCCCAUGGCAGAAGCAGCAGGGUGCUGCCACACAAAAUGGUGCCUGCCCCAGCAGUGGCGCAGCACCGCCCUUGUGCCCAGAUGGGGAACCCUGGUGUGUCCUCGCAGAUUUUUUCCAUGGGGUUGGGAGACACAUGAGGAAGGAUCGGGGCUGUCUAGAAGCCCUGUGCAGGGUGCUGAGGGCUGCCAGCUCUGGGGGUUUGCAGUGGCAUUGGGGCCAUGGCCCCUGAGGGGAUUUGUGAGGAAGGGGCUGCAGCGGCUUGUCAGCUCAGUUCGGCCUCUCUGUGUGGGAAGAGAAAUGGAAGAAAAAGAAAAGUGAACUCUGAAUCAUGCUGAAGGAGUGCUCUGGGCUGGCUACAGAGAAAAAGAGGAUGGAGCCAGCUCCCUGACAGGCUACUAAGGCCUGCGAGUGGUGAUCACACCAUGGUGUGUAAAAACAGAGUGGGCACAGAAAGGGGGAACAGGUGUUUGACAGAGGUGAUCAGAAGUUAAUUUAAAUUCACAGCUGUGGGUUUGUUUCUCCUGUUGUCUGCACCCCAAGGCAGCAAGGAAGAGGCUGCCAGGAGGACACUGGGGAAGGGCUGCCACAGGGACAGUCAGACCUGUGGGGUCUGUGAGGUUAUUACCAGAUGCAAGGGGGAAGGCAGGUGAACAACCACUCCAGAUCAAGCUCUGUGCUUUGCUGCUCUGCUGCUAUGAUGCACUCCCUCAACUAUUUCUGUGGUUCAAAAGUACGGAUGCUCCCUAAAAAAUUCUUGAGGCAGAGUUUUAGGAAAUUGGUCAGAAGUCUUAGAAAGCGAUGCAGACAUCAGAGCACACGCUUGGUUUUGCUCUGUAACAACAUCAACAUCACAGAGGAGCGUAUCCAUGCAAAAUCUUUAUUUGGAGAAUGUCUCCUGUGGGACAGCAGCACCCCUCCAGUUUACAGGGAUUCAAUAGCAUAA
rnacentral:lncRNA from 2 species